UGCAGACAAGGCAGUAGAUAGAAAUGUUGCUUUAUGCUUUAUUUUUUAUCUCUUUGAUCUCCAAAAUAUCAGGGGAGGGAAACUGUCCAAUGGGUCAGAUUGAAUCUGCAUGUGUAAAUGAUUGUGAAGAAAAUACAAGGAAAAUUUCAUUUUCAAAUGUGUC